UAAUUUAAGAGUUUGAUCCUGGCUCAGGAUGAACGCUGGCGGCGUGCUUAACACAUGCAAGUCGAGCGGAGAUAUGAAAUCUGAGAGCUUCGG
rfam:[Clostridium] neopropionicum strain DSM-3847 CLNEO_contig000001, whole genome shotgun sequence.